GCUUGCUUUGGCAAGACGUAUACUAAAAUUGAAUGAUAUAGAAAAGAUUAGCAUGGCCACUGCACAAGUAAUUCAUGCAAGGGGGUGGGUUUGGCAUAAUAGUU